CCUACGGGUGGCUGCAGUGGGGAAUAUUGCACAAUGGGCGAAAGCCUGAUGCAGCAACGCCGCGUGAGCGAUGAAGGCUUUCGGGACGUAAAGCUCUGUCCUCAAGGAAGAUAAUGACGGUACUUGAGGAGGAAGCCCCGGCUAACUACGUGCCAGCAGCCGCGGUAAUACGUGGGGGGCUAGCGUUAUCCGGAUGUACUGGGCGAAAAGGGUGCGUAGGUGGUUUGUUAAGUCAGAGGUGAAAGGCUACGGCUAAACCGUGGAAAGCCCUUGAAACUGGGGAUCUUGAGUGCAGGAGAGGUAAGCGGAAUUCCUAGUGUAGCGGUGAAAUGCGUAGAUAUUAGGAGGAACACCAGUUGCGAAGGCGGCUUUCUGGACUGUAACUGACGCUGAGGCACGAAAGCGUGGGGAGCAAACAGGAUUAGAUACCCGAGUAGUC
rnacentral:rRNA from 1 species